CACCUGGGAGGAAUUUUCCAGAGAUCACUGUCUGAUGACCCUGUCUUGGAAUUGGAGCCAUGCAAGUUACACUGACCACGUUUGGGUUGGGAUAUUGAGGAGGUUAUGGUUAAAAGCAUACGAUGGGAGAUCAUAUUGUACUUGCGAGUGAGACCCGGCUGGAGGAAUGUUUUAAUUCUUCGGAAAUACCAAGUGGUCUCUGUCUCACAUGAGUACUUCACAAUGGGGAAACUGAACUGGAACUCUACUGACAACGCAGUUGGGAGUUCAAACUUAAUAACCUUCCAGAGUUGGUAUCAAAUUCAGACGCUGACGCUCCUUGGAGAGGUUCUUUGCUGCAAGAGGAUGGAAAGGAUCACUGUGAUUUUGUUUUUCUCCUGCUGCUCUGUCUGGAAGCCAUGUGAGGAGGACAUCUGAGCAGCCCUGUGGAGAGGCCCCCAGCCAACAGCCAGCAUGAACUUGCUGGGCAUGUGAGUGCACCACCUUGAAAGUAGAGCCUCAACCCCUGGUCAAGCCAUCAGGUAAGAUUGCAGCCCUGGCUUAUAUCUGACCACAACCUCAUGAGCAACCCAGAUCCAGGCCACCCAUGUAAGCUGCUUGUGAAUUCC
rnacentral:lncRNA from 1 species